CAAUACAUCAGCAGCAACCCUACCAUAUCCAGACAAAUACAGGCUGUGACUUUGUGAAGAAAGAUGGCUGUUGCCUUGUCUGUUCCCUCUCUUGACAUGGACUGGAAUAAAGACACGGAGGGAACAUCAUCUGAUGCCAAAACCAACUCUUCUUAAUCAGGCUACUUGCACUUCAAGAAGCAAUGGACCUGUGUCGGCAGAACUGGGUAAGAGUGCAGGUAUCCCAGGGAAGAUGGUAUGGAACCCAAAUGCAUACGGCUGUGGGGGAAUGGAAGCAUAGAGUUGCUCCAAAGGACCCCAGAGACACCUGCUGGGAGCCUCUCGUGGCAGAUGUUGGUCCUGGGCUUCUGGCCCAACACAAGGCUUGGGUUCUGAGUCUCUGACUGAUAACCCAGCUUAAGGCCUUUAAUUUUAGUGCCCCCGUAAUUGAAAAGGGAACCGGAAUGGGGACCCAGCCCUUGUGGGCGCAGGAAAACAAUAAAAUGGGAGCUGGCAGCACAGCAGCCACUGAAUCAUUCUGUGCCCGUCCUCAUCACUCACCUAUGUAAACAGCCCAGGCAGCUCUCACCUGCUCAAGGUUGCACAGCUGUUCAAUGGCAGUGACAGCCGUCAUUCACUGAAGGGGUGCCGUGUGCUGGGCAGCCUUCCAAGUGCUUUUUAACACUUAACCUCUUUAAUCCUCAAACAACCUGUAAGUUCACAUUAUCAUUAGCCCUGGGCAUGAGAUAUUAGUAAUAAUUUUUAUGAAGUCACAAACCCCCUGUGGAUGGCGCUGGGACAUGGACUCAAGUCUGUCUCACUAAUUUGGUAGCUAUACCAUACUGCCUGUACUGCCUCGUGUGUGUGUGUGUGUGUGUGUGUUUUCAUGUGCAUUUGGGCACACGUAUGGAGGUCAGAGGACAACCUUCAGGAAUUAUCCACUUUGCUUUUAAAAACAGGCUCAUUCACUGACUUGGAGCUUGCCAAGUAGGCCAUAUUGCCUGCCCAGCGAGCUGCCUUUCUCUGCCUCUCCAGAGAUGGAAUUACAAAUGAUCCCCACGGUGUCUGUCUUUCUCUGGGAGUUCCUGGCAUUGUGCUCAUGACCUCCUGUUUGCGGGGGCAGGCACUUACUGAAUAGGCCCACGCCCUCAGCCACAGUGUUCAGUCUUUAUGUCUCUCGAUGAACUUCCAAAGUAGGGGUCCCUUCCUGUUUAUAUCUACAUGUUUACUGUUGGGCAUAGAAACGAGAUAUUUGUGAAACAUUUGGAUUUAAAUAAUCAUUUUGAAGACACCUGGAAACACUUUGCUCUACAGUUUAACUUGCCUAGAAUGAUCCCAACAAUAACAAAAGUGUUUAAACUGGAUUUACUAACUCAUUCAAUAGAAACUUUGACAAUGCUUGGCUUCAUGUCAGGCCCAAGAGGAACAAUGGUGAAAACAGAUACUUUUCCGGGUUAUCCCAGCAGGGUUGCCCCUUCAGUAGGUAGCUACCAUUCCCACCACUAAGGUAUCCAAUAUCAGGGCCCAAGUGGCCUCACCAUGGUAUGUCAAGAGGUCCUGAUUCUGUGUAAGAGGAACUCUCCUCCAGUCUUCAUCCUCAGGGUCUCAACUUCAUUCUCCCCAUUUCCUUCUCUCCUCCCCCCACCUUAAGUCACACAGGUAAUAAUCAGCAUCAUAAUUAGGAACCCUGGAACAGAGGGCAGGGCAAGAGGGACAAUGUUUCAGAAGGCAUUCUGAGAACUCAGAUUGUGUUUCCCAAAGUUGAACAUGCACGCACACAUGCACACACACACACACACACACACACACACUGUGAAAACACUCUCUGGCCACUAAGCAUUACACUUAUUUCUGGCUGCUCCUGUGUGUCUUGAUAAUGAGUAACUAUCAAUUAUUCAGUGGAAGACAUUUUAUCUGAGCCUGCUUCUUUUCCUAUACUCAUGCCAAGUGAUUUAUUAGGAAAAAAAAGUGAGUAUCUUUUUUAAUGAAAGAAAGAACUCAAGCUGGUGUCCCUUGGGCAAUAAUGAGUAACUUUUUGCUCUGAGAUGAUGAAGGAAAGGAUUCCUGUUUUGCUUCUUCAACUUCACUCCCAUGACACAGAACUAGCCCUGAUGGAGGCAGUGGGGUUCCUGCCUUCCCCCAAAGUGAUCACAGAUCAGAGUGAAGGAGCACCCAGGACUUCACCGACUGUCAUCCCACUGCCUCUCAAGCAGAGAAUUCCUGAGGGUGAAAAGGAGGCAUUACAAUAAUCAACCUGAUGGAAUGAGAAUAGAGAUCUUCUCACACAAACCAGGAAGGGACAUUACCCCAGUCCCAGAGGACUUGAAGGACCCUUCUAACUGAAACACCCGAAAUGCUUGAAGCUUAACACCCCCAUUUUGUGUUUCCUGGGGACCCAAGGAGCCUCUACUAGCUGUCACUACUAGCUGCCAACUUUCAGGUACAAGCGACAAGGAGUUCUACAGGGGACAUACCUAGUUCUGAUUUAAAUUUAAUCUGUGUGGUCAAUUAUUUGUAUAAGAAUGGAGGAAAAUAAAGACUAUUUCACAAAAGUCAACUCUGUAAUUUUAGAGCCUUUAAGACAUUUGAAAACGCCUUGUGCAAUUAUGUGGCGCUUAAUACUCAGAUAAUGGAACAAUGAAAGAUGUAUGUUUGCAUUUUGUAAAAUUAAACUGUAUGCAGUUAUUUAUCUUUUACCUUAAUUGUUUGAGCUUGUUUCUAAUGUAAACUGUUGUAAUUUUAAAUAAAUAUCAUAGAAAAAACUUU